UAUAUAUAUUUGCAUUUUUGUAGUGUAUCUGCGGUGAAAACACGCACUUGACCUUGACGGGGCAGAAUUUUCAAAACCAGUCAAUCGGGGUAUUUGGUGGCAGUUCUUUCUAUAAAGUACGAUUACUUAUAUUGUAUUAUAUGAUGUUCGGUCGUAUGAAUUGGCGACGGUGAUCAAUACUAGGUUAGAAUUUACUGAAUUACGAUCACGUUUCGUAACACACGUACAUUGUAGAUUUUAUCAUCACGACAACGAUUAUAUCAUAAUAUUUAUGAGUAUUCGAAUUAUUAUUAUUAUUUUAUUUUAAAUCGCCAAGUGAUUCAAGUAAUCCAUAGAUUUAUCUAUGGUUUUAAUUUUUCGGUUUUUAAAAAUAUACCAAAACUUUCACAUUUUAAUCUUCGCCCGGUAGUCUGCUAUUUGAAACGUUUUUCCAGAUGUUCAAUAGUUGGAAAAAAACCACACUCACACACUACUCAGAAUUCUUUGUACAUACAAAUUUGAAAUAUAGUAAAUCACAUCUAUAAAUAAAUAAAUAUCCUAUACCUCCUUAUCUAAAUGUGUGGCCUAUUCAUGGUGCGAAAUAUGUUUGAUUUUUUAGGUUAGGUUAGGCGUGGGCGUAACGCGCGGGCGUGAUAAUAAUUUGAGGGUUACGGCCGAUUAUAAUUACUAAAGUCGUGUCGUGGAUUACGCAUGUCCCUUACAGUAAAUAUUAUUUGCCAUCCUAAAAUUGUUGAUUUAUACGUCUCGUAAAGUUCCAAAAUGAAAACACGAACUAUAAAACUGUUCGAACAAAAAGUUAAAGACUUAUCUUCGACCGUUUCUGACCUAUCGCAUUGUUUAUUCGAAUGCUGUAUAUCUAAUUUAGCACUAUCUUAAUAACGAACAAAUAUAUACCUACGAUAAAUGUAAUAUAUGUACAUACAUACUAGCACACAUAGAUAAAAACUGUAUGAUAUUUUUUCAUCGUUUAUUUUGUAAAAUGUAUAUAUUAUAUUUUAAGGGCCGACGUCAUACUUGCGGAAGAAUCUCCGUUGCGGAAAUUCUAUCGCGAUUUUUACGAAAGAAUUCUUCAUUUCCGGAAAUAAUUCGUAACUAUAUGAGUAAAAUUUGCGUGAAAAUAAUAAUUGAAUUGAAUUAUUUUAAAAUCAACGUAUGAAAGAGUGUUUUAUACGUUUUCAAAAACAAUAAAAAAAAAAGAAUUGAUACUGGGGACGGGUGUGCCACUAUUGUAGGUGGGAAAUUGGGAAUGUAGUAUACAGGGUGUUUCACUAAGCAUGCACACCCCAUUUUUUUUUGGUUAAAUUUUGAUAUUCAAAUUCUUAUAAAAAAACCUCCUGUUAAAUGUUCAUAUAUUUCUCUUUAGUUUAACAAUUUUAUCCACUAAGUCGCAAAAUUAAAACGUCUAUAAAUAGUUUAAAAAUAGUU